rnacentral:rRNA from 1 species
GAGAUGGAUUGGUGCCUUCGGGAACUCUGAGACAGGUGCUGCAUGGCUGUCGUCAGCUCGUGUUGUGAAAUGUUGGGUUAAGUCCCGCAACGAGCGCAACCCUUAUCCUUUGUUGCCAGCGGUUCGGCCGGGAACUCAAAGGAGACUGCCAGUGAUAAACUGGAGGAAGGUGGGGAUGACGUCAAGUCAUCAUGGCCCUUACGAGUAGGGCUACACACGUGCUACAAUGGCAUAUACAAAGAGAAGCGACCUCGCGAGAGCAAGCGGACCUCAUAAAGUAUGUCGUAGUCCGGAUUGGAGUCUGCAACUCGACUCCACGAAGUCGGAAUCGCUAGUAAUCGUGGAUCAGAAUGCUACGGUGAAUACGUUCCCGGGCCUUGUUCACGCCGCCCGUCCCACCAUGGGAGUGGGUUGCAAAAGAAGUAGGUAGCUUAACCUUCGGGAGGGCGCUUACCACUUUGUGAUUCAUGACUGGGGUG